GUCCACGCCGUAAACGAUGGAUACUAGCUGUUGGGAGCAAUCUCAGUGGCUAAGCGAAAGUGAUAAGUAUCCCACCUGGGGAGUAUGUUCGCAAGAAUGAAACUCAAAGGAAUUGACGGGGGCCCGCACAAGCGGUGGAGCAUGUGGUUUAAUUCGAUGAUACGCGAGGAACCUUACCAAGGCUUAAAUGUAGUUUGACCGAUUUGGAAACAGAUCUUCGCAAGACAAAUUACAAGGUGCUGCAUGGUUGUCGU
rnacentral:rRNA from 1 species